rnacentral:rRNA from 1 species
UGAGUAACACGUGGGUAACCUGCCCAUCAGAAGGGGAUAACACUUGGAAACAGGUGCUAAUACCGUAUAACAAUCGAAACCGCAUGGUUUUGAUUUGAAAGGCGCUUUCGGGUGUCGCUGAUGGAUCGACCCGCGGUGCAUUAGCUAGUUGGUGAGGUAACGGCUCACCAAGGCCACGAUGCAUAGCCGACCUGAGAGGGUGAUCGGCCACAUUGGGACUGAGACACGGCCCAAACUCCUACGGGAGGCAGCAGUAGGGAAUCUUCGGCAAUGGACGAAAGUCUGACCGAGCAACGCCGCGUGAGUGAAGAAGGUUUUCGGAUCGUAAAACUCUGUUGUUAGAGAAGAACAAGGAUGAGAGUAACUGUUCAUCCCUUGACGGUAUCUAACCAGAAAGCCACGGCUAACUACGUGCCAGCAGCCGCGGUAAUACGUAGGUGGCAAGCGUUGUCCGGAUUUAUUGGGCGUAAAGCGAGCGCAGGCGGUUUCUUAAGUCUGAUGUGAAAGCCCCCGGCUCAACCGGGGAGGGUCAUUGGAAACUGGGAGACUUGAGUGCAGAAGAGGAGAGUGGAAUUCCAUGUGUAGCGGUGAAAUGCGUAGAUAUAUGGAGGAACACCAGUGGCGAAGGCGGCUCUCUGGUCUGUAACUGACGCUGAGGCUCGAAAGCGUGGGGAGCAAACAGGAUUAGAUACCCUGGUAGUCCACGCCGUAAACGAUGAGUGCUAAGUGUUGGAGGGUUUCCGCCCUUCAGUGCUGCAGCUAACGCAUUAAGCACUCCGCCUGGGGAGUACGACCGCAAGGUUGAAACUCAAAGGAAUUGACGGGGGCCCGCACAAGCGGUGGAGCAUGUGGUUUAAUUCGAAGCAACGCGAAGAACCUUACCAGGUCUUGACAUCCUUUGACCACUCUAGAGAUAGAGCUUCCCCUUCGGGGGCAAAGUGACAGGUGGUGCAUGGUUGUCGUCAGCUCGUGUCGUGAGAUGUUGGGUUAAGUCCCGCAACGAGCGC